rnacentral:rRNA from 1 species
UGACCUCAAAUCAGGUAGGACUACCCGCUGAACUUAAGCAUAUCAAUAAGCGGAGGAAAAGAAACUAACAAGGAUUCCCCUAGUAACUGCGAGUGAAGCGGGAAAAGCUCAAAUUUUGAAUCUGGCGGUCUUUGCAGACCGUCC